rnacentral:ncRNA from 1 species
AUUGAAGCUAUGAAGAGGAAGAGUAAGUAAAGUACUAUUUUACAGAGAGAGAAGUUCAUCGGAUGAAAGACUUCUUAGAUAAGUGUUACCGAAAACCACCUCCGAGCUGAAUACUGAAACAAAGUAAGUAUCUCCGAAUGACCUGCGUUAAGGGUUUCAAGUGAUAGUAUGUUUAUUUUAUGCUAUAAUUUGGGUGGAACCGCGAUAGUAACUCGUCCCAUGU